UACAGAGGGUGCGAGCGUUGUUCGGAAUUAUUGGGCGUAAAGGGCGCGUAGGCGGUGCGGUAAGUCACCUGUGAAAUCUCCUGGCUCAACUGGGAGCUUGCAGGCGAAACUGCCGUGCUGGAGUGUGGGAGAGGUGCGUGGAAUUCCUGGUGUAGCGGUGAAAUGCGUAGAUAUCAGGAGGAACACCGGUGGCGAAAGCGGCGCGCUGGAUCUCUUCUGACGCUGAGGCGCGAAAGCCAGGGGAGCGAACGGG
rnacentral:rRNA from 1 species